UAUUGUAAAAAAAUGAUAAUGAUAACUGCAAUUAGUAAAAUAGAUGGCGUAUUUAAAGAAAAAUAUAAAAAUCAUGCAGAUAUUUAAAUUCCAGUCUCUGGUUAAAAAAAUUUGAUGUGCAAAUAUAAACAGUAGUUAAAGGCCAUAGCCCAUGUCCCCUUUAUGCCAAUCCCAUAGGCCUUAGAGCUCAGAGCCAAUGGUCCCCGCUUCCCCAUGGGCCCAAAUCGGACGCCUAUACCCAAUCACAAGCAGAACUGAUGAGAGGAUAUGAUUUGCGCUCUCCAUCGCGACCUUGUCUGAUCUUUCUCAGCCUCGCCCAGAAAAUAUUGGUUGCAGAUUAAUAUAGAAGUGAAAUGGCUGGCGGUAGGAUUGCUCAUGCCACCUUGAAAGGACCAAGCGUUGUUAAGGAGAUAGUUUUGGGGAUUGCACUUGGUCUGACUGCUGGUGGUCUUUGGAAGAUGCAUCACUGGAAUGAACAAAGGAAAGUGAGAGCAUUUUAUGAUUUAUUAGAAAAAGGUGAGAUCAGCGUGGUUGCAGAAGAAUAAAUUAUGUUUUAUGUUUGAACCAUGAUUUCUUUGAAUAGCUUCAGCAAUAUUUCUACUCUUUUGCCAAGAUUAUUUUGCUCUUAAAUUGAGCAUACUUAUUCUGAAGAAUAAAUUUAUUGUUUUGAACUGUGGAUUACACAUUUGUUUUGCAUUAAUGUGUUAAAUUUAAUGGCUUAACCUUUUUGAGGUU